AAGACAAAUUAUUAGUAUGAAAUACUCUUAUGUAUAUACAUUGUUUCCCUAAUAGUUGUAUACAUAGAGAUAAUCUUUUUUUCACUAGGAUAACAAUACUUCUUUUUUUUUAUCUCAAAUUGCUACCUUGAAAAUAGCUCCCUUUUCCAUUAAGCUCAAAAGAUUGCAUUGCUAUUUACAAAGGGUAUGUUGCAGAAUCCGCUCGGCUUCAAUGACCUAUUGAAGUCGUUUGAUCUGUGCAAGGUUCAAAGCGUCCUUAUUGGCGCGAAUCAAAUACGCAUAGUUCAACGACGGCCUUGGGGAGAUGGUCUAUCGCCCUGUUUGCUUUCCUAAGUACGUGCCUCAACAUCUAAUUAGGUAUUCUUGCGAAUUGCUCUUUGAUGUGAUCAAUCCAUACACAGAACUUCCAGCUUGGGGUAAAGCUUCAUGUAACGGGCUGGAUAGUGGUUUUUGAGCCUCCUUCAAUGUCAAUGGAUUUAAUAUUGUUUUGUCUGCACCUUCAUGUAGUGCCCUAAAUUUUGCAUCAUUGUUUGAUCCAUUUGGGAUUUUGAUUGCCCUUAGCCAAACAUUCCAUCCUUUGUGAUCUUGAAUAAUAAAUCCAUAUCUCCAAUGAUUAGGGUUUGAUUUAGAGCUAUGGUAACAUAUUUAUUUAAAUGAGCAUCUUACUUUAUUAAAUGAACAUCUUAUUUUAUAAAUAAUACACAUAUAGUGGAUAACCAUGAUAUUUUAUUUGAAUAAAAAAAAUAUUUAUUUCACUUGUUAAUAAA